UACGUAGGGGGCAAGCGUUGUCCGGAAUCAUUGGGCGUAAAGCGUGCGCAGGCGGUUUUGUAAGUCUGUCGUGAAAGCCCCGGGCUCAACCUGGGAAUUGCGAUGGAGACUGCAAGGCUUGAAUCUGGCAGAGGGGGGUAGAAUUCCACGUGUAGCAGUGAAAUGCGUAGAGAUGUGGAGGAACACCGAUGGCGAAGGCAGCCCCCUGGGUCAAGAUUGACGCUCAUGCACGAAAGCGUGGGGAGCAAACAGG
rnacentral:rRNA from 1 species